UCUUCGGAGGCUCCAGCCUGCUGGACUAUAUCCCACCUAGCCGUGGCAAGUGGCUGCGGAUCAUGGGACUUGCAGAUGGGGGAAGGCCGCAUUGGCUGUUUCUACCCCAGUUUCUUUCCGGAGAAGUCCGAGUCUACUUCACGGUCCAGCUUCGGUCGCCGUUCCCUCCCCUCCAGCUCAAGGGUUAAUAAACUCAGCUCCGAUUCCUAGAGAGACAGGAGGUUCCGCCCUGGGGAGGGACGGUCCUCGGAAGUGUCCCUCUUUCCUAUAUCCGGAAGGGAAAUCGGGCUGCGCAGGGUACCCGGCGAGGGGGAGCGGUGGCUCGAGCGGGAGGAAAGAGAGUGGCUCUGGGGAUCUGAUGCCCCAGUCUGACUUUCCAACCUGAAGAAAAGGAGGAAGACCUGCUUGUACAGGAGACAAUGACAGGUAGGUUCUCAGAUAUAUCAUGAGACUGUGUCAAACCUCAGUCAGCUGGUGAAUUUCCACCAUUCUUUUUUACAUCCCCCAGAACAAAGUAGAGUUUUGAAGCUUUUUGUUUUCCUGCAGAUAUGUCUAGUUAUCUCCUGCACUUUGUUCUUGAGAGUUUGUUUGCAAUAUUCCACAUGCUCUGCCAAUGUUAUUUCAGGUAAACUCUUAGCACUAAUGUUAUUGUGAGUUUACUUCUUGGAGUGAUAUGACCAAAAAGUGACAAAUAAAUAUGCAAAGUUGC